rnacentral:lncRNA from 1 species
UGCACCCGACGCCCGAUUGUCGACCCGCAGUAGGGGCCCAUGGCCCCCAAGGGCACGUGUCAUAGGUGCAGCCCCUGCGGCAAAUGAGUCGCACGAGUUUUCUUGGAGCUUAAUUCCCACCGAGCGAUGGGUAAAAUCUUUUACAGAUGACUUAAAUACGCGACGGGGUAUUGUAAGUGGCAGAGUGGCCAUAUUGCCAAGAUCCACUGAGAUUCAGCCCUUUGUCGUUUCGAUUCGUCCCUCCUCCCGUCGACCUUCUUUCCUUUCACGCCCCUCCCUCCGGGGUUGGGCGUGACCCGAGGCCCCCAUCCCCCGGUCCCGAUCGAGAAUGAACUACGCUCACCCCAAUCGAGCACCAAAACGAAUGUGCGGGCACUAAACCAACCACUGGGGGCAGGAUGCGCGAGCUGACCAAUGAUCCCGCUGCUGGUCCCCCUCGAUUGUUGCCCCAAAUGCCAUCGAUAGCCUCUAGCCUUUGGUUGGUUGAGACUGAGAAUACACUACGUAUGCCUAAGUCAACCCAUGAAACGAGCGUACGGGUGCUCAGCCGACGAGAGAGCCAGAAUACACAAGCCAAGGAUCGACCCGACCCCCUCUGCGUGCUAUCGAUCUCACUGCAGGUCCCUCGAUCCAGUUAGGGCUUAGACCGAGAAUGAACUUCGCAUGCCUAAAUCAACCCACAAAACGGGUGCUCAGCUGGCCGGAGAGGCAGGAUGUGUAAGUCGAGGAUUGGCUCGAUCCCCCUCUGCGUGUUGCUACCGAUCUCGCUGUCGGUUCGAUCUUAGACUAGGAAUGAACUUCGUAUGCUUAGACUGGGAAUGAACUCCGUAUGCCUAAGUCAACCCACUAAAUGAGCGUACGGACACUGAGUCGAUCUGAGAGGCAUAAUGCGUAAGCUAGGGAUCGGUCCGAUCCCCUUUUGCGUGCUGUCGAUCCCGCUGCCGAUCCCGCUGCCACAACCCUCGAUCUGACUGGCGCUUAGACAUGGAAUGAACUCCGUAUGCCUAUGCCAACCCAUGAAAUGAACGUGAGGAAGUUCAACCGACCGGAGAGGUAGAAUGCGCAAGUUGGGGAUCGACCCGGUCCCCUCUACGUGCUAUCGACCUACUGCUGGUCCUAUUGCUGCAACCCUCGGUCCGGUCCAAUCUUAGAUUUGGAAUGAACGAGACUUGCUUAGAUUGGGGAUGAACUCCGUAUGCCUAAGUCAACCCACGAAACGAGCGUGCGGGCACUCAGUCAGCCAGAGAGGCAUAAUGUGCAAGCCGAGGAUCGACCCGGUCCACCUUUACGUGCUGUCGAUCCCACUACGGGUCCUACUACCGCAACCCUCUAUCCAGUUCGAUCUUAGACUGGGAAUGAACUCCAUAUGCCUAAGUCAACCCACAAAACGAGCGGAUGGGCACUACGUCGGCCAGAGAGGCGAGAUGCAUAAGCCGUGGAUCGAUCGGGUGAUAGGUGGGUUCAGGCACAUCUCCAUAUUUCUGCCUUGCCAAUGCCAUUUUUAUGGCUUGUAAAUUCAUACAAUGGUCCCCUAAGCCUUCAUGUGAAGUUUCGUGGCAAGACGACCCGUUUUCUAUUUUUCAUUAUUUUUGAAACUUUUUGAGGUUUGGGUUUUUUAAAAUUUUUUUAAAAGGAGUUUUGGCCCCAAAUUUGGUAGACACGAUCCUUGUAUUUUUGUUGGCAUGCACAAAAAAAUUCAACUAAAAACUCAAAGUGGAGAAGAUUUUGUGACUGUUUGAAAAAAGUGUCCCCAUUUCAGACAUCUUAAUGGCUACUAGUAGCAAAGCUAUAAAAUCUCAAAUGCUCUUUAAGGAGGUGUGAGUUCUCGAGGUUUGAUGAGGGAUAGGGGGCCAAUAUAAGGGAUAGGUUCUCGAUAGCCUCUGGCCCUUGGUUGGUCGAGACCGAGAAUGCACUACGUAUGCCUAAGUCAACCCAUAAAACGAACGAGCGGGCGCUCCGCCGAUCGGAGAGCCAGAAUGCUCAAGCUGAGGAUUGGCCCAGCCCGCCUCUACGUGCGGCUGAUCCUGCUAUGAGUCCCUCAGUCCGUUUGGGGCUUAGAUCGAGAAUGAACUCCGUAUGCCUAAGUAAACCGAUUAAACGAGUGUGUAGGCGCUUAACCGAUCGAAAAGGCAGGAUGCGCAAGCCAAGGAUCGGCCCGGUCCUCUUCUGCAUGCUGCUGAGGAUCCCACUGUCGGUCUGAUCCUAGACUGGGAAUGAACUCCGUAUGCUUAGACUAAGAAUGAACUCCAUAUGCCUAAGUCAGCCCACGAAACAAGUGUGCAGGUGCUGAGCCGGUCGGAGAGGCAUAAUGUGUAAGCCGGGGAUCAACCCAGUCCCCCUCUACGUGCUGUUGAUCCCGCUACCACAACCCUCGGUCUGGCUGGGGCUUAGACAUGGAAUGAACUCCGUAUGCCUAAGUCAACCCAUGAAACGAGCGUGCGGGUGCUCAACCGAUCGGAGAGGCAGAUUGUUCAAGUCAGGGAUCAGCCUGGUCCCCCCUGCAUGCUGUCGAUCCUGUUACUGGUCCUGCUGUCGCAACCUUUGGUCUGGAUUGAUCUUAGACCUGGAAUGAAUGAGACUUGCUUAGACUGGGGAUGAACUUCGUAUGCCUAAGUCAACCCACGAAAUGAGCGUACGGGCGCUCAACCGGCCAGAGAGACAGAAUGUGCAAGCUGGGGAUCGACCCGGUACCCCUCUACGUGUUGCCAAUCCCGCUGUGGGUCUUGCAGCUGCAACCCUUGAUCCGAUCCGAUCUUAGAUCGGGAAUGAACUUCGUAUGCCUAACUCAACCCACGAAAUGAGGGGAUGAGCACUACGCCUGCCAGAGAGGCGGGAUGCGCAAGCCAUGGAUCGAUCGGGUGAUAGGUCGAUUCAGGCACAUCUUCAUAUUUCUGCCAUGCCAAUGCCAUUUUUAUGGUUUGUAAAUUCAUACAUUGGUCCCCUAAGCCUUCAUGUGAAGUUUCGUGGCAAGACGACCUGUUUUCUAUUUUUCAUGAUUUUUGAAACUUUUUACGGUUCGAGAUUUUUUAAAAUUUUUUUAGGAGUUUUGGCCCCAAAUUUGGUAGACAUGAUCCUUGUAUUUUUGUUGGCAUGCACAAAAAAAUUCAGCUAAAAACUCGAAGUGGAGAAGAUUUUGUGACCGUUUGAAAAAAGUGUCCCCAUUUCAGAUACUUUAAUGGCUACAAGCAGCAAACUUAUAAAAUCUCAAAUGCUCUUAAAGGGGGUGUGAGUUCUCGAGGUUUGAUGAGGGAUAGGGGGCCAAUAUAAGGGAUAGGUUCUCGAUAGCCUCUGGCCCUUGGUUGGUCGAGACCGAGAAUGCACUACGUAUGCCUAAGUCAACCAAUGAAACGAGCGUGCGGGCGUUCAGCCGAUCGGAGAGCCAGAAUGCGCAAGCCAAGGAUCGGCCCGACCCCCCUCUACGUGCUAGCGAUCCCGCUGCGGGUCCCUCAAUCCAGUUGGGGCUUAGACGGGGAAUGAACUCCGCAGGCCUAAGUCAACCCACGAAACGAGCGUGUGGGCGCUCAGCCGGGCAGAGAGACAGGAUGCGUAAGCCAAGGAUUGACCCGGUCCCCCUCUGCGUGUUGCUAUCGAUCCCGUUGUGGGUCCGAUCUUAGACUAGGAAUGAACUCCGUAUGCCUAUGCCAACCCACGAAACGAGCGUGCUGGUGCUGAGACAGAAAAAAAGGCAUAAUGCACAAGUCAGGGAUCAGCCCGAUCCCCCUCUGCAUGCUGUCGAUCCCGUUGCCGGUCCCGCUGCCACAACCCUCGGUCCGACUGGGGCUUAGACAUGGAAUGAACUCUGGAUGCCUAAGCCAACCCACGAAACGAGCGUGCAGGUGCUCAACCAACCAGACAGGUAGAAUGCGUAAGUCGGGGACCGGCCCGGUCCUCCCUGCGUGCUAUCGAUCCUGUUGCCGUAAUGCUUGGUCCGAUCCGAUCUUAUACUGGGAAUGAACGAGACUUGCUUAGUCUAGGGAUGAACUCCGUAUGCCUAAGUCAACCCACGAAAUGAACGUUCAGGUGCUCGGUCGGCCAAAGAGGUAGAAUGUGUGAGCCGGGGAUCAGCUCGGUCCCCCUCUGCAUGCUAUCGAUCCCGCUAUAGGUCCUGCUACCGGAACCCUCGAUCUAGUUUGAUCUUAGACUGGGAAUGAACUUUGUAUGCCUAAGUCAACUCACGAAAUGAGCGGACGGGCACUACGUCGGCCAGAAAGUCAGGAUGCACAAGCCGUGGAUCGAUCGGGUGAUAGGUGGGUUCAGGCACAUAUUCAUAUUUUUGCUGUGCCAAUGCCAUUUUUCUGGCUUGUAAAUUCAUACAAUGGUCCCCUAAGCCUUCAUGUGAAGUUUCAUGGCAAGAUGACCCGUUUUCUAUUUUUCACGAUUUUCAAAACUUUUUACGGUUUGAGAUUUUUUAAAAUUUUUUUAGAAGGAGUUUUAGCCCCAAAUUUGGUAGACAUGAUCCUUGUAUUUUUGUUGGCAUGCAUAAAAAAAUUCAGCUAAAAACACGAAGUGGAGAAGAUUUUGUGAUCGUUUGAAAAAAGUAUCCCCAUUUCAGACACUUUAAUGUCUACUAACAACAAACCUAUAAAAUCUCAAAUGCUCUUUAAGGGGGUGUGAGUUUUCGAGGUUUGAUGAGGGAUAGGGGUCCAAUAUAAGGGAUAGGUUCUCGAUAGCCUCUGGCCCUUGGUUGGUCGAGACUGGGAACGCACUAUGUAUGCCUAAGUUAACCCAUAAAACGAGCGUUUGGGCGCUCAACCGAUCGGAGAGCCAGAAUUGCGCAAGUCGAGGAUCGACCCAGCCCCUCUCUAUGUGCUGUUUAUCCCACUGUGGGUCCUUCGGUCUGGUUGGGGCUUAGACCGAGAAUGAACUCUGCAUGCCUAAGUCAACCCACGAAACGAGCGUGCGGGCGCUCAACAGGUCGAAGAGGCAGGAUGCACAAGCUGAGGAUCGGCCUGGUCACCCUCUGCGUGAUGCUGUCGAUCCCGCUAUCGGUUCAAUCUAAGAUUGGGAAUGAACUCCAUAUGCUUAGACUAGGAAUGAACUCCGUAUGCCUAAGUCAACACAUGGAACGAGCAUGCGGGCGUUGAUCCGGUCCGAUCUUAGACUAGGAAUAAACUCCAUAUGCCUAAGUCAACCUACAAAACAAGCGGACGGGCACUACGCCGGCCAGGCAGGUGGGAUGCACAAGUCGUGGAUCGAUCGGGUGAUAGGUGGGUUCAGGCACCUCUUCAUAUUUAUGCCAUGCCAAUGCCAUUUUAUGGCUUGUAAAUUCAUACAAUGGUCCCCUAAGCCUUCAUGUGAAGUUUCGUGGCAAGACGACCUGUUUUCUAUUUUUCACGAUUUUUGAAACUUUUUACAGUUCAAGAUUUUUUAAAAUUUUUUUAGAAGGAGUCUUCGUCCCAAAUUUGGUAGACAUGAUCCUUGUAUUUUUUUGGGCAUGCACAAAAAAAUUCAGCUAAAAACUUGAAGUGGAGAAGAUUUUGUGACCAUUGGAAAAAAGUGUCCCCAUUUCAGACACUUUAAUGGCUACUGGGAGCAAACCUAUAAAAUCUCAAAUGCUCUUUAAAGGGGUGUGAGUUCUCGAGGUUUGAUGAGGGAUAGGGGGCCAAUAUAAGGUAUAGGUUCUCGAUAGCCUUUGGCCCUUGGUUCGUCGAGACCGAGAAUUCACUACGUAUGCCUAAGUCAACCAUGAAACGAGCGUGCGGGCGCUCAGUCCGACCGGAGAGCGAGAAUGCACAAGCCAAGGAUCGGCCCGACCCCCCUCAGCGUGCUGUCGAUCUCGUUGCGGGUCCCUCGGUCUGGUUGGGGUUAGACCGAGAAUGAACUCUACAUGCCUAAGUCAACCCACGAAACGAGCGUGCGGACGCUCAGCUGACCGGAGAGGCAGGAUGUGUAAGUCGAGGAUCGACUCAAUAAACCUCUGUGUGCUGCUAUCGAUCCCGUUACCGGUCUGAUCUUAGACUGAGAAUGAACUCCGUAUGCCUAAGGUAACCCACGAAACGAGCAUGCAGGCACUGAGCCAGUCGGUGAGGCAUAAUGCGCAAGCCAGGAAUCGGCCCGAUCCCCUUCUGCGUGUUGCCGAUCUCGCUGUCGGUCCCGCUGCAACAACCCUUGGUCUGGCUGGGGCUUAGACAUGGAAUAAACUUCGUAUGCCUAAGCCAACACACGAAACGAGCGUGCGGGCGCUCAACCGGCCAAAGAGGCAGAAUGCACAAGUCGGUGAUUGAUCCAAUCCCCCCUUGCGUGCUGCCAAUCCUGCUACUGGUCCUGUUGUUGCAACCCUCGGUCCGGUCUGAUCUUAGAUCAGAAAUGAAUGAGACUUGCUUAGACUGGGGAUGAACUCCGUCUGCCUAAGUCAACCCAUGAAACGAGCAUGCAGGCACUCAGUCGGCCAGAGAGGCAGAAUGUGCAAGCCGAAGAUCGGCCCGGUCCCCCUCUGCAUGCUGUCGUUCCUGUUAUGGGUCCUGUUGCCGAUCCCACUGCGGGUUCUACUGCCGCAACCCUCAAUUCGGUCUGAUCUUAGAUUGGGAAUGAACUAUGUAUGCCUAAGUCAACUCAUGAAAUGAGUGUGCGGGUGCUCAACCGGCCGGAGAGCGAGAAUGUCCAAGCCGAGGAUCGACCCGACCCCCUUCUACGUACUAUCGAUCCCGCUGUAGGUCUUUCGGUCCGAUUGGGGCUUAGACCGAGAAUGGCCUCUGCAUGCCUAAGUCAACCCACGAAACGAGCGUGCGGGCGCUCAGUCGGUCGGAGAGGCAGGAUGCCUAAGCUGAGGAUCGGCCCGAUCCCCCUCUACGUGUUGCUGCCGAUCACGCUACCGGUUCGUCUUAGACUAGGAAUGAACUCUAUAUGCUUAGACUGGGAAUGAACUCCGUAUGCCUAAGUCAACCAACAAAACGAGCAUACAGGCGCUGAGCUGGUCGGAGAGGCAUAAUGCAUAAGCCUAGGAUCGGCCCGAUCCCCCUCUACAUGCUGUCAAUCUCACUGCCGGUCCUGCUACCACAACCCUCGAUCCGACUGGGGCUUAGACAUGAAAUGAACUCCGUAUGCCUAAGCCGAUCAGAAAGGCAGAAUGCGUAAGCCGGGGAUAGGCCCGGUCCCCCCUCAUGCUGUCGAUCCUACUGUUGGUCCUGCUAUCGUAACCCUCGGUCUGGUCUGAUCUUAGACUGGGAAUGAACGAGACUUGCUUAGACUGGGGAUGAACUCCGUAUGCCUAAGUCAACCCACGAAAUGAGCGUGCGGGUGCUCAGUCGGCCAAAAAGGCAGAAUGUGCAAGUCAGGGAUCGACCCGAUCCCCCUCUGCGUGCUGUCGAUCCCGUUAUAGGUCCCGUUACCGUAACCCUCGAUCUGGUCUGAUCUUAGACUUGGAAUGAACUCCGUAUGCCUAAGUCAACCCAUGAAAUGAGCGGAUGGGUACUAUGCCAGCCAGAGAGGCAGGAUGCGUAAGUCAUUGAUCGAUCGGGUGAUAGGUGGGUUCAAGCACAUCUUCAUAUUUCUGCCAUGCCAAUGCUAUUUUUAUGACUUGUAAAUUCAUACAAUGGUCCCCUAAGCCUUCAUGUGAAGUUUCGUGACAAGGCGACCCGUUUUCUAUUUUUCAUGAUUUUUGAAACUUUUACGAUUCGGGAUUUUUUAAAAAUCUUUUAGAAGGGUUUUUGGCCCCAAAUUUGGUAGAAAUGAUCCUUGUAUUUUUGUUGGCAUGCAUAAAAAAAUUCAGCUAAAAACUCAAAAUGGAGAAGAUUUUGUGACCGUUUGAAAAAAAUGUCCCCAUUUCAGACACUUUAAUGGCUAUUGGCAGCGAACCUAUAAAAUCUCAAAUGCUCUUUAAGGGGUUGUGAGUUCUCGAGGUUUGAUGAGGGAUAGGGGGCCAAUAUAAGGGAUAAGUUCUUGAUAGCCUCUGGCCCUUGGUUGGUCGAGAUCGGGAAUGCACUACGUAUGCCUAAGUCAACCCAUGAAACGAGCGUACGGGCACUCAGCCAGUCGGAGAGCUAGAAUACGUAAGUCAAGGAUCAGCCUGGCCCCCCUCUGCGUGCUAUCGAUCUCGCUGCGGGUCCCUCGAUCUGGUUGGGGCUUAGACAGGGAAUGAACUCCGCAUGCCUAAGUCGACCCAUGAAACGAGCAUCCGGGCGCUCAACCGGUCGGAGAGGCAGGAUGUGCAAGCCGAGGAUCGGCCCGAUCCCCCUCUGCGUGCUACUGUUGGUUUGAUCUUGGACUGGGAAUGAACUCCGUAUGCUUAGACUGGGAAUGAACUCCAUAUGCCUAAGUCAACCCAAGAAAUGAGCGUGCGGGUGCUAAGUCGAUCGGAGAGGCAUACGCAAGCCGAGGAUUGGGCCAGUCCCCCUUUGCAUGCUGUUGAUCCCGUUGCCACAACCCUCGGUCCGACUGGGGCUUAGACAUGGAACAAACUCUGUAUGCCUAAGCCAACCCAUGAAACGAGCGUGCGGGCGCUCAAUCAGCCGAAAAGGUAGAAUACGCAAGUCGAGGAUCAAUCCGGUCCCCCCUACGUGCAGCCGAUCCUGCUGCUGGUCCUGCUACCGCAACCCUCGAUCUUGUCCGAUCUUAGAUUGGGAAUGAACGAGACUUGCUUAGACUGGGGAUGAACUCUGUAUACCUUAGUCAACCCAUGAAACGAGCAUGCGGGUGCUCAGUCGGCCAGAGAGGCAGAAUGUGCAAGCCGGGGAUCGGCCUGAUCCCUUUCUACAUGCUGUCGAUCCCGUUCCAGGUCCUACUACUGUAACCCUCGAUCCGGUCUGAUCUUAGAAUGGGAAUGAACUCCGUAUGCCUAAGUCAACCCACGAAACGAGCGGACGGGCACUACGUCAGCCAGAGAGACGAGAUGCGCAAGCCGUGGAUCGAUUGGGUGAUAGGUGGGUUCUGGCGCAUCUUCAUAUUUCUGCCAUGCCAAUGCCAUUUUUAUGGCUUGGAAAUUCAUACAAUGGUCCCCUAAGCCUUCAUGUGAAGUUUCGUGGCAAGACGACCCGUUUUCUAUUUUUCAUGAUUUUUAAAACUUUUUUUGGUUCGGGAUUUUUAAAAAUUUUUUAGAAUUAGUUUUGGCCCCAAAGUUUGUAGACAUGAUCCUUGUAUUUUUGUUGGAAUGCACAAAAAAAUUUAGCUAAAAACUCGGAGUGGAGAAGAUUUUGUGACCGUUUGAAAAAAGUGUCCCCAUUUCAGACACUUUAAUGGCUACUGGCAGCAAACCUAUAAAAUCUCAAAUGCUCUUUAAAGGGGUGUGAGUUCUCGAGGUUUGAUGAGGGAUAGGGGGCCAAUAUAAAGGAUAGAUUCUCGAUAGCCUUGGGCCCUUGGUUGGUCGAGACCGGGAAUGCACUACGUAUGCCUAAUUCAACCCAUGAAAUGAGCGUGUGGGUACUCAGCUGAUCGGAGACCCAAAAUGCUCAAGCCGAGGAUCGGCCCGACCCCCCUCUACGGGCUGCCAAUCCCGCUAUGGGACCCUCAGUUCAGUUGGGGCUUAGAUCGGGAAUGAACUUCGCAUGCCUAAGUCAACCCACGAAACGAACGUGCGGGCGUUCAGCCGACCGAAGAGACAGGAUACGCAAGUCGAGGAUCGGCCCGAUCCCCCCCUACGUGCUACUGUCGAUCCCGCUACCGGCCUGAUCUUAGACUAGGAAUGAACUCUGUAUGCUUAGACUGGGAAUGAACUCCGUAUGCCUAAGUCAACCCAUAAAAUGAGUGUGCGGGCAUUGAGCCGGUCGGAGAGGCAUAAUACGUAAGCCGAGGAUCGGCUUGAUCCCCAUCUGCAUGCUGUCGAUCCAACUACCGGUCUCGUUGCCACAACCCUCAGUCCGGCUGGGGCUUAGACAUGGAAUGAACUUCGUAUACCUAAGCCAACCCACGAAACGAGCGUGCGGGCAAUCAAUCGACCGGAGAGGUAGAAUGCGGGAGUUGGGGAUCGGCCUAGUCCCCUUGCGUGCCACUGAUCCUACUGCUGGUUCUACUAUUGCAACCCCUGGUCUGAUCUGAUCUUAGACUAGGAAUGAACGAGACUUGCUUAGACUGGGGAUGAAGUCCGUAUGCCUAAGUCAACCCACAAAACGAGCAUACAGGCGCUCAGCCGGCCAGAGAGGUAGAAUGUGUAAGUUGGGGAUCCGUCCGGUCCCCCUUGCAUGCUACCACAACCCUCGAUCUGGUCUGAUCUUAGACUGGGAAUGAACUUCGUAUGCCUAAGUCAACCCAUGAAAUGAGCGGACGGGCACUACGUCGACCAGAGAGGUGGGAUGCGCAAGCCGUGGAUCGAUCCGGUGAUAGGUAGCUUCAGGCACAUCUUCAUAUUUCUGCUCUGCCAAUGCCAUUUUUAUGGCUUGUAAAUUCAUACAAUGGUCCCCUAAGCCUUCAUGUGAAGUUUCGUGGCAAGAAGACCCGUUUUCUAUUUUUCAUGAUUUUUGAAACUUUUUACGGUUCAGGAUUUUUUAAAACCUUCUUAGAAGGAGUUUUGGCCCCCCCAAAUUUGGUCAACAUGAUCCUUGUAUUUUUGUUGGCAUGCAUAAAAAAAUUCAGCUAAAAACUCAAAGUGGAGAAGAUUUUGUGACCGUUUGAAAAAAGUGUCUCCAUUUCAAACACUUUAAUGGCUACUGGCAGCAAACCUAUAAAAUUUCAAAUGUUCUUUAAGGGGGUGUGAGUUCUUGAGGUUUGAUGAGGGAUUAGGGGCCAAUAUAAGGGAUAGGUUCUUGAUAGCCUCUGGCCCUUGGUUGGUCGAGACCGGGAAUGCACUACGUAUGCCUAAGUCAACGCAUGAAACGAGCGUGCGGGUGCUUAGCUGAUCGGAGAGCCAGAAUGCGAAAGUCGAGGAUCGGCCCAGCCCCCCUCUAUGUGUUAUUGAUCCCACUGUGGGUCCCUCAAUCCGAUUGGGCCUUAGAUCGAGAAUGAACUCUGCAUGCCUAAGUCAACCCACGAAACGAGCGUACGGGCGCUCAGUCGGUCGAAGAGGCAAGAUGCGCAAGCUGAGGAUCGGCCGGUCCCCCUCUACGUGCUACUAUCGAUCCUGCUGUCGAUCCGAUCUUAGACUGGGAAUGAACUUCGUAUGCCUAAGUCAACGUACGAAACGAGCGUGCGGGCGUUAAGCCGAUCGGAGAGGCAUAAUGCGUAAGCCGAGGAUCAGCCUGAUCCCCCUCUGCGUGCUGCCGAUCCCACUGCCGUUCCCACUACCACAACCCUUGGUCUGACUGGGGCUUAGACAUGGAAUGAAUUCCGUAUGCCUAAGCCAACCCACGAAACGAACGUGCGAGCGCUCAACCGAUCAGAGAGGUAAAAUGUACAAGUCGAGAAUCGACCUGAUCUCCCUUUUCGUGCUGUCGAUCUUACUGCGGGUCGUGCUGUCGCAACACUCGAUCCGAUCCGAUCUUAGACUGGGAAUGAAUGAGACUUCCUUAGACUGGGGAUGAACUCCGUAUUCCUAUGUCAACCCACGAUACGAGCGUGCAGGUGCUCAACCGACCAGAGAGGUAGAAUGUACAAGUCGAGGAUCAGCCCGGUCCCCCUCUACGUGCUGUCGAUCCCGCUGCGGGUCCCUCGGUCUGGUUAGGGCUUAGAUCAAGAAUGAACUCCGCAUGCCUAAGUCAACCCACAAAACGAGCGUGCGGGUGCUCAACCGAUCGGAGAGACAGGAUGCGCAAGCCGAGGAUCAGCCUAAUCCUCUUCUCUGUGCUGCUAUCCGAUCCCGCUACUGUCGAUCCCACUGUCGAUCUGAUCUUAGACUGGGAAUGAACUCCGUAUGCUUAGACUGGGAAUAAACUUCAUAUGCCUAAGUCAACCCACAAAACGAACGUGCGGGCGCUAAGCCGGUCAGAGAGGUAUAAUGCAUAAGUCGGGGAUCGGUUAGGUCCCCCUCUGCAUGCUAUCGAUCCCGCUGUCGAUCUCGCUGCCACAACCCUCGGUUCGGCUGGGGCUUAGACAUGGAAUGAACUUUGUAUGCCUAAGCCAACCCAUGAAAUGAGCAUGCGGGUGCUCAACCGGCCGGAGAGGCAGAAUUCAUAAGUCAGGGAUCAGCUUGGUCCCGCCUUACGUGCUGCCAAUCCUGCUGCUGGUCCUGCUACCGUAAUCUUCGGUCCGAUCUGAUCUUAGAUUGGGAAUGAAUGAGACUUGCUUAGACUGGGGAUGAACUCUGUAUGCCUAAGUCAACCCACGAAACGAGCGUACGGGUGCUCAACCGACCAGAGAGGCAAAAUGUGCAAGCCGAGGAUUGGCCCAAUCCCUCUCUGCGUGCUAUCGAUCCCGCUACGGGUCCUGCUACCGUAACCCUCGAUUCGGUCUGAUCUUAGACUAGGAAUGAACUUUAAUGCCUAAGUUAACCCAUGAAAUGAGUGGACGGGCACUACGUCGGCUAGAGAGACGGGAUGCGAAAGCCGUGGAUCGAUCGGGUGAUAGGUGGGUUCAGGCACAUCUUCAUAUUUCUGCCAUGCCAAUGCCAUUUUUAUGGCUUGUAAAUUCAUACAAUGGUCCCCUAAGCCUUCAUGUUAAGUUUCGUGGCAAGACGACCCGUUUUCUAUUUUUUACGAUUUUUGAAACUUUUUAUGGUUCGGGAUUUUUUAAAAUCUUUUUAGAAAAAGUUUUCACCCCAAAUUUGGUAGACAUGAUCCUUGUAUUUUUGUUGGCAUGCACAAAAAAUCUCAGCUAAAAACUCGAAGUGGAGAAGAUUUUGUGACCGUUUGAAAAAGUGUCCCCAUUUCAGACACUUUAAUGGCUACUGGCAGCAAACCUAUAAAAUCUCAAAUGCUCUUUAAGGGGGUGUGAGUUCUAGAGGUUUGAUGAGGGACAGGGGGCCAAUAUAAGGGAUAGGUUCUCGAUAGCCUCUGGCCCUUGGCUGGUCGAGAUCGAGAAUGCACUACGUAUGCCUAAGUCAACCCAUGAAACGAGCGUGCGGGCACUCAGCCGAUCGAAGAGCCAGAAUGCACAAGCCGAGGAUCGGCCUGGCCUCCUUCUGCGUGCUGUCGAUCCCGUUAUGGGUCCCUCGGUCCGAUUGGGGCUUAGACCGGGAAUGAACUCCUCAUGCCUAAGUCAACCCAUGAAAUGAUCGUUCGGGCACUCAAUUGGCCGGAGAGGCAGGAUACGUAAGCCGAGGAUCAGCCCAGUCCCCCUCUGCGUGCUACUGCCAAUCCCGCUGCCAGUCCGAUCUUAGACUGGGAAUGAAAUCCGUAUGCUUAGACUGGGAAUGAACUCCAUAUGCCUUAGUCAACCCACGAAAUGAGCGUGCAGGCAUUGAACCGAUCAGAGAGGCAUAAUGCACAAGCUGAGGAUCGGUUCGGUUCCCUUCUGUGUGCUGUCGAUCUGACUGCCAGUCCCGCUGCCACAACCCUUGGUCCGACUGGGGCUUAGACAUGGAAUGAACCCCGUAUGCCUAAGCCAAUCCACGAAACGAGCGUACGGGCGCUCAACCGGUCGAAAAGGAAGAAUGCACAAGUCAGGGAUCGACCAGGUCCCCUCCUACGUGCUGUCGAUCCUGCUGCUGGUCCUGCUACCGUAACCCUCGAUCCAGUCCGAUCUUAGACUAGGAGUGAACGAGACUUGCUUAGACUAGAGAUGAACUCCGUAUGCCUAAGUCAACCUAUGAAAUGAGCUUGCAGACGCUCAACCAGCUAGAGAGGCAAAAUGUGCAAACUGGGGAUCGGCUCGGUCCUCCUCUGCAUGCUGUCAAUCUCGCUGUGAGUCUUGCUAUCGUAACCCUCGAUCCGAUCUGAUCUUAGACUGGGAAUGAACUUCGUAUGCCUAAGUCAACCCACAAAAUGAGCAGACGGGCACUACGCCAGCCAAAGAGUCGGGAUGCGCAAGCCGUGGAUCGAUCGGGUGAUAGGUGGGUUCAGGCACAUCCUCAUAUUUUUGCUGUGCGAAUGCCAUUUUUAUGGCUUGUAAAUUCAUGCAAUGGUCCCCUAAGCCUUCAUGUGAAGUUUUGUGGCAAGACGACCAGUUUUCUAUUUUUCAUGAUUUUCUAAACUUUUUACGGUUCGAGAUUUUGUAAAAUUUUUUUAGAAGGAGUUUUGGCCCCAAAUUUGGUAGACAUGAUCCUUGUAUUUUUGUUGGCAUGCACAAAAAAAUUUGGCUAAAAACUCGAAGUGGAGAAGAUUUUGUGACCGUUUGAAAAAAGUGUCCCCAUUUCAAACACUUUAAUGGCUACUAGCAGCAAACCUAUAAAAUCUCAAAUGCUCUUUAAGAGGGUGUGACUUCUCACGGUUUGAUGAGGGAUAAGGGGCCAAUAUAAGGGAUAGGUUCUCUAUAGCCUCUGGCCCUUGGAUGGUCGAGAUCGGGAAUGCACUACGUAUGCUUAAGUCAAUCCAUGAAACGAGCGUGCGGGCACUCAGCCAGUCGGAGAGCCAAAAUGCGCAAGCCGAGGAUCAACUCAGCCCCCCUCUGCAUGUUGCCAAUCUCACUGCGGGUCCCUCCUAUUCAUUUGGGGCUUAGACCAAGAAUGAACUCCGUAUGCCUAAGUCAACCCAUGAAAUGAGCGUGCGGACGCUCAGCCGACCGGAGAGGUAGGAUGCGUAAGUCGAGGAUCUGCCUGGACCCCCUCUGCGUGCUGCUAUCGAUCCCAUUGUUGGUCCGAUCUUAGACUGGUAAUGAACUUCGUAUGCCUAAGUCAACCCGCGAAACAAGCGUGCGGGCGCUGAGCCAAUCGAAAAGGCAUAAUGCACAAGCCGAGGAUCGACUCGAUCCCCCUCUACGUGCUGUCGAUCCAGCUACCGGUCCUGCUGCGACAACCCUUGGUCCGACUGGGACUUAGACAUGGAAUGAACUCUGUAUGCCUAAGUCAUCCUAUGAAACGAGCAUACGGGCACUUAACCGAUCGAGAGGCAGAAUGUGUAAGUCAGGGAUCGGCCUGGUCCCCCCUGUGUGUUACCGAUCCUACUGCUAGUCUUGUUACCGCAACCCUCGGUCCAAUCUGAUCUUAAACUGGGAAUGAACGAGACUUGCUCAGACUAGGGAUCAACUCCGUAUGCCUAAGUCAACCCACAAAACGAGCGUGCGGGGGCUCAGUCGGCCAGAGAGGCAGAAUGUGCAAGUCAGGGAUCAGCUCGAUCCCCUUCUACGUGCUAUCGGUCCUGCUGCGAGUCUUGCUACCGUAACCUUCGAUCCGAUCCGAUCUUAGACUGGGAAUGAAUUCUGUAUGCCUAAGUCAACCCACGAAACGAGCGGACGGGAACUACGCCGGCUAGAGAGGCGGGAUGCGCAAGCCAUGGAUCGAUCGAGUAAUAGGUGGGUUUAGGCACAUCUUCAUAUUUUUGCCAUGCCAAUACCAUUUUUAUGGCUUGUAAAUUCAUACAAUGGUCCCCUAAGUCUUCAUGUGAAGUUUUGUGGCAAGAUGACCCAUUUUCUGUUUUUCACGAUUUUGGAAACUUUUUACGGUUUGAGAUUUUUUUAAAUUUUUUUAGUUGGAGUUUUGGCCCUAAAUUUGGUAGACAUAAUCUUUGUUUUUUUUUUUGGCAUGCACAAAAAAAUUCAGCUAAAAACUCAAAGUGGAGAAGAUUUUGUGGCCAUUUGAAAAAAGUGUCCCCAUUUCAGACACUUUAAUGGCUACCGACGGCAAACCUAUAAAAUCUCAAAUGCUCUUUAAGGGGGUGUGAGUUCUUAAGGUUUGAUGAGGGAUAGGGGGCCAAUAUAAGGGAUAGGUUCUCGAUAGCCUCUGGCCCUUGGUUGGUCGAGAUCGGGAAUGCACUAUGUAUGCCUAAGUCAACCCAUGACACGAGCGUACGGGCGCUCAGUCGACCGGAGAGCCAGAAUGCACGAGCAGAGGAUCGACCUGACCCUCCUCUACAUGCUGUCGAUCCCAUUACGGGUUCAUCGGUCUGGUUGGGGCUUAGAUCAGGAAUGAACUCUGCAUGCCUAGGGCAACCCACGAAACUAGCGUGCAGUAGCUCAACCGGUCGGAGAGGUAGGAUGCACAAGUCGAGGAUCAGCCCGGUCCCCUUUUGCGUGCUACUAUUGAUCCAGCUGCCAGUCUGAUCUUAGACUGGGAAUGAACUCCGUAUGCUUAGAAUGGGAAUGAACUCCGUAUGCCUAAGUCAAACCAUGAAACGAACAUGCGAGCGUUGAGCCGGUCGGAGAGGCAUAAUGCGUAAGUCAGGGAUCGGCCUAGUCCCCCUCUGCGUGCUGUCAAUCCCGCUACGGUCUCGCUGCCACAAACCCUCGGUCCGGCUGGGGCUUAGACAUGGAAUGAACUCCGUAUGCCUAAGCCAACCCAUGAAAUGAGCGUGUAGGUGCUCAACCGGUUGGAGAGGCAGAAUGGGCAAGUCGGGGAUCGACCUGGUCCCCCUACGUGUUGUCGAUCCUGCUACUGGUCCUGCUGCUGCAACCCUCGAUCUGAUCCGAUCUUAGACUCGGGUUUAACCAAUCAAGGGCCAGAGGCUAUCGAGGACCUAUCCCUUAUAUUGGCCCUCUUUCCCUCAUCAAACCUCGAGAACUCACACCCCCUUAAAGAGCAUUUGAGAGUUUAUAGGUUUGCUGCCAGUAGCCAUUAAAGUGUCUGAAAUGGGGAUACUUUUUUCAAACGGUCACAAAAUCUUCUCCACUUCGAGUUUUUAGCUGAAUUUUUUUAUGCAUGCCAACAAAAAUACAAGGAUCAUGUUUACAAAAUUUGGGGCCAAAAAUCUUUCUACAAAAAUUUAAAAAAAUCCUGAACCGUAAAAAGUUUUGAAAAUCAUGAAAAAUAAAAAAUGGGUCGUCUUGCCACAAAACUUCACAUGAAGGCUUAGGGGACCAUUGUAUGAAUUUACAAGCCAUAAAAAUGGCAUUGGCAUGGUAGAAAUAUGAAGAUGUGCUUGAACCCACCUAUCACCCGAUCGAUCCACGGCUUGCGCAUCCCGCCUCUCUGGCCGGCGUAGUGCCCGUCCACUCGUUUUCAUGGUUGACUUAGGCAUACGGAGUUCAUUCCCAGUCUAAGAUCAGAUUGGAUCGAGGGUUGUGGUAGUAGGACCCACAGCAGGAUCGACAACAUAUAGAGGGGGAUCAGGCCGAUCCCUGGCUUGCACAUUCUACGUUUCUGGCCGACUGAGCGCCUGCAUGCUCGUUUCAUGGGUUGACUUAGGCAUACGGAGUUCAUCCCCAGUCUAAGCAAGUCUCGUUCAUUCCUAGUCUAAGAUCAGACCAGGCUGAGGGUUACGAUAGCAGGACCAGCAGUAGGAUCAAUAGCAUGCAGGGGGGGAUCGAGCCGAUCCCGACUUGCGCAUUCUGCCUCUUCGAUCUGUUGAGCACCCGUACGCUCAUUCCGUGGGUUGGCUCAGGCAUACAGAGUUUAUUCCAUGUCUAAGCCCCAGUCGGACCGAGGGUUAUGGCAGUGGGACCCACAGCGAGAUUAGCAGCACGCAGAGAGGGGUCGGGCCGAUCCUCGACUUGCGCAUUCUGGCUCUCCGAUCGGUUUAGUGCUCGCACGCUCGUUUUAUGGGUUGACUUAGGCAUACGUAGUGCAUUCCCGGUCUCGACCAACCAAGGACUAGAGGCUAUCGAGAACCUAUCCCUUAUAUUGGCCCUCUAUCCCUCAUUAAACCUCGUGAACUCACACCCCCUUAAAGAGCAUUUGACAUUUUAUAGGUUUGCUGCCAGUAGCCAUUAAAGUGUUUGAAAUGGGGACACUUUUUUCAAACUAUCCCAAAAUCUUCUCCACUUCAAGUUCUUAGCUAAAUUUUUUUGGGCAUGCCAACAAAAAUACAAGGAUCAUGUCUAUCAAAUUUGGGGCCAAAACUCCUUCUAAAAAAAUUUUAAAAAAUCCUGAAUCGUAAAAAGUUUCAAAAAUCGUGAAAAAUAGAAAACGGGUCAUCUUGCCACGAAACUUCACAUGAAGGCUUAGGGGACCAUUGUAUGAAUUUAAAAGCCAUAAAAAUGGCAUUGGCACGGUAGAAAUAUGAAGAUGUACCUAAACCCACCUAUCACCUGAUCGAUCCGCGGCUUACGCAUACCGCCUCUCUGGCCGAUGUAGUGACCGUCCGCUCGUUUCGUGGGUUGACUUAGGCAUACGAAGUUCAUUCUCAGUCUAAGAUCAGAUCGGAUCGAGGGUUACGGUAGCAGGACCCGCAGCGAGAUCGGCAGCACGCAGAGGGGGACCGAGUCGAUCCCCGACUUGCACAUUCUGCCUCUCUGGGCGGCUGAGUGCCCGCACGCUCGUUUCAUGGCUUGACUUAGGCAUACGAAGUUUAUCCCCAGUCUAAGCAAGUCCCUUUCAUUCCAAGUCUAAGAUUGGACCGGACCGAGGGUUACGACAGCAGGACCAGUAGCAGGAUCGAUAGCACGUAGGAGGCGAUCGGGUCGAUCCCUGACUUGUGCAUUCUGUCUCUUCGAUCGAUUGAGCACCCGCAUGGUCAUUUCAUGGGUUGGCUUAGGCAUACGAUGUUCAUUCCAUGUCUAAGCCCCAGCUGGACCGAGGGUUGUGGUAGUGGGACUGGUAGCGGGAUCGACAGCACGCAGAUGGGACCAGGCCGAUCUCCGGCUUGUGCAUUAUGCCUCUUCGAUCGGCUCAGUGCCCGCACGCUCGUUUCGUGGGUUGACUUAAGCAUACGGAGUUCAUUCCCAGUCUAAGAUCGGACCGACAGUGGGAUCGACAAUAGCAUGCAGAGGGGGAUCGGGCCGAUCCACGACUUGCGCAUCCUACCUCUCCAGUUGGCUGAGCGCCCACACGCUCGUUUCGUGGGUUAACUUAGGCAUGCGGAGUUCAUUACUGAUCUAAGCCCCAACCAGACAGAGGGACCCGCAGCGGGAUCGACAGCAUACAGAGGGGGGCCAGGUCGAUCCUCAGCUUGCCCAUUCUGGCUCUUCGACCGACUGAGCGCCAUCACGCUCGUUUCAUUGGUUAACUUAGGCAUACAUAGUGCAUUCCCGGUCUCGACCAACCAAGGGCCAGAGGCUAUCAAGAACCUAUCCCUUAUAUUGGCCCCCUAUCCCUCAUCAAACCUCGAGAACUCACACCCCCUUAAAAAGCAUUUGAGAUUUUAUAGGUUUGCUGCUAGUAGCCAUUAAAGUGUCUGAAAUAGGGACACUUUUUUCAAGCGGUCACAAAAUCUUCUCAACUUCGAGUUUUUAGCUGAAUUCUUUUGUGCAUGCCAAAAAAAAUACAAGGAUCAUGUCUACCAAAUUUGGGGCCAAAAUUCCUUCUAAAAAAAUUUUAAAAAAUCUCGAACCGUAAAAGGUUUUGAAAUCAAUGAAAAUAGAAAACGGGUUCGUCUUGCCAGAAACAUCACAUGAAAGCUUAGGGGACCAUUGUAUAAAUUUACAAGCCAUAAAAAUGGCAUUGGCAUGGCAAAAAUAUGAAGAUGUGCCUGAACCCACCUAUCACCCGAUCUAUCCACGGCUUGCGCAUCCCACCUCUCUGGUAGGCGUAGUGCCCGUCGGCUCAUUUGGUGGGUUAACUUAUGCAUACGGAGUUCAUUCGCAGUCUAAGAUCAGACCGGAUCAAGGGUUGCGGUAGCAGGACCCGUAGCGGGAUGGGCAGCACGNNNNNNNNNNNNNNNNNNNNNNNNNNNNNNNNNNNNNNNNNNNNNNNNNNNNNNNNNNNNNNNNNNNNNNNNNNNNNNNNNNNNNNNNNNNNNNNNNNNNNNNNNNNNNNNNNNNNNNNNNNNNNNNNNNNNNNNNNNNNNNNNNNNNNNNNNNNNNNNNNNNNNNNNNNNNNNNNNNNNNNNNNNNNNNNNNNNNNNNNNNNNNNNNNNNNNNNNNNNNNNNNNNNNNNNNNNNNNNNNNNNNNNNNNNNNNNNNNNNNNNNNNNNNNNNNNNNNNNNNNNNNNNNNNNNNNNNNNNNNNNNNNNNNNNNNNNNNNNNNNNNNNNNNNNNNNNNNNNNNNNNNNNNNNNNNNNNNNNNNNNNNNNNNNNNNNNNNNNNNNNNNNNNNNNNNNNNNNNNNNNNNNNNNNNNNNNNNNNNNNNNNNNNNNNNNNNNNNNNNNNNNNNNNNNNNNNNNNNNNNNNNNNNNNNNNNNNNNNNNNNNNNNNNNNNNNNNNNNNNNNNNNNNNNNNNNNNNNNNNNNNNNNNNNNNNNNNNNNNNNNNNNNNNNNNNNNNNNNNNNNNNNNNNNNNNNNNNNNNNNNNNN